AUUGAACGCUGGCGGAAUGCUUUACACAUGCAAGUCGAACGGCAGCACGGACUUCGGUCUGGUGGCGAGUGGCGAACGGGUGAGUAAUGUAUCGGAACGUGCCCAGUCGUGGGGGAUAACGUAGUGAAAAUUACGCUAAUACCGCAUACGAUCUAUGGAUGAAAGCGGGGGAUCGCAAGACCUUGCGAGAUUAGAGCGGCCGAUAUCAGAUUAGGUAGUUGGUGGGGUAAAGGCCCACCAAGCCAACGAUCUGUAGCUGGUCUGAGAGGACGACCAGCCACACUGGAACUGAGACACGGUCCAGACUCCUACGGGAGGCAGCAGUGGGGAAUUUUGGACAAUGGGCGAAAGCCUGAUCCAGCCAUUCCGCGUGCAGGAUGAAGGCCCUCGGGUUGUAAACUGCUUUUGUACAGAACGAAAAGGUUUCUACUAAUACUAGGAGCUCAUGACGGUACUGUAAGAAUAAGCACCGGCUAACUACGUGCCAGCAGCCGCGGUAA
rnacentral:rRNA from 1 species